UCCUUGAGCAGUGUGAGUCCAAGUGCUUUUGAACACACUGGUGUUGCAAAACAGCAAAAAAAGGAGUUGUACUUUCAAACCUGCCCUUCCAGGCACCUCAUUACCCUUGGGACACUGGUACUUGGGUGAGUUUGAUGCUGAAGUCCCCUGGGUUAAGAAGGAGGAUUCCGUUUUGCUUGGGGCUCUGGGUAGGUUUGGGUGGUUUGUAAUGCUGCCCCAGAUGAGGCUCCCACCCACACCUGUGUGGGGGUGAGCUGUUCACCUGGUUUGCAGUCACAGCUGAGAGCACUGAGGACCCUUUGUCUCCCCACCUUUGAGGUUUCUUCUCCUGGUGUGCCUGCACCAGAAGGGUCCUGUCUUGCUGGGAGGAGGCAGCUCUGGAGACUUUGAAAGAACAGUACUCUGGAGCCCAUGUGAGCUAUGUGCAGAAGAUUGCAUGUCUCCUGAAAGGAACUGCUCUUUCAAGAGGGUAACUUGUAAAGAAGAUCCAAAGGCUAUUUCAUUUACUGUCCCAUAACAGCUUUAUAAUCAUCAUGUGAGUGUCUGUCUGAGUAAGCAAAGUGGUAAUGAUCACUUGGAUCAGCCCUGGUACCAGCACUGCCAGCCCUUUCCCCACUGCACACAGGAGCACAUCCCAUAAAUAUGGAGUGACUGCAGCCAGCCAUCUGCAAGGGAGCCAACAUUCAGCUGCAAUAAGCAGGAACCCCACUUGCUGCUGCAGAGAGGCAUCCGCCAGAAGCUGCCCUCCUUAUCUUGAAUUUCAUAUGUAAUGAGUAGCUAAAUCUGACACCAAAUUAUUUUAGGAAGAAAAUUCAAAGUCAAGCCAUUUCCUUUGAAAAAGCCAUUUGAAACCUUUGGGGAACAGAUAUGGAAACACAAUUUAAAACUCAUUUCCCCACACAAGUGAUUGGGAUUAAUUUCAAUAAAUCCAGUGUUUACUAUGCACAGAACAUCUCCUCCUCCCUCACCACAAGCCCUGGACACUUUGGACUACUCUUUCAUUUGUUGCUUCCUCUAAAAUACUGCUUGUGUAAUUCAGAUUUGUUUUUAUCUGCAAGAAAAUGCCUCUUCAGUUACUGAGCCUAAGCCUGCUGCAGCUGAGGGAGAAGUGCCUGGCCUGGGCUGAGCUGCAGGGAAGCAGCACUGCAGUCCCAGCCCAAGCCAUGCCAGGGAUGUGUGACCCCGGCUCCGCUCACGGGCACCUCAGUGACAAUCCUCAAGGACUACGGGAGAGGCUGUGCUGUCUGGCACUAGCUCUAUUGGAAAGCACUGCUUGCAUUUGUAAUGCAAAGCAGACAUGAUUUCAGAACCUGAUCUCUUUGACAACAAAGGCUGUAGAAGAUUAGAAAUACUUAGAUUUGCACUUCAUUAAAAAAUGUAUUUCCCUCUGUAAAAGGAAUUGGUUUUCUUAACUCAUUUGCCUUGCUUCUCUCUUGAGUGUAUAUUUCCAUUUGUGCCUUUAGUGUAUUCUGGUAGUUCUAAGAACUGUGGAUGUUUUUUUUUCCCACCAAUUAGCUCAUCUGGGACUAUUUUAUUAAAGUCUUUUUGGCAUUUAAAAUAUGUAGAUGACAACAUUAAUCCGAUUAAAGUGUAGGUAAAGUUGAUAAUACAAAAUGUAAAAAAGCAAUGCAAGGUACAAUUACUAACAUAAUUAUUUUCAUUAUCAAUACAAUUAUAUUUUUCAGUUGUUGCUUGCUUAACAUUUUUAUUUUUUAUCCAUUUGUUUCAUUAGCUCUAAUAUACUGCUGUGAGAGGCAGUUCUCUGCUUCUUCAAGCAGUAUGAAGGUAGAAGUGGACAGAACUACUCACAGAGGGAUAAAAGUCUUUUAUCUCUCUCUGUCUGGCUGAUCUCCAGUGAAGUCAACUCAGCCAGCAGGACCAUUCAUUUUCCUAGGGGGAUGAGCAAUUGGGGUCUCAGUUUAUUUUCCAGUCCUGAAUGGUUUCACUGAAAAAUCAUGACAAUCUAUAGGCUUGUAGGUAGUAUCAGGAAAAAGAGCCAAAAAAUACCAUUUCAUUCCUGGAAGAGUCCCAGGAAUUAUUUUAAAGGCCCACUCUAUUCUGUUUCACUGGCAGGCUACCACCAGUGGCAUUUCAUCAGUACAACAGAGCAGCUCUUGCACCUGGGCAUGAUGGGCAGCAAAAUAAGUCAAUGCCAUAAGAACUGCAAAGUGAAAAUGGUGCAGAAAAUGAUGAGGAAAUGAUUUAAGACAGGAAUUCAGAGUGAGUAGGUAGGUUUAAUUUUAAUGGGAAAGAAAGGAGGAAGCUCAUGAGUGGUUUACAUAGCUUAAUUCUCAUGUGAUACUGUUCUCCAAAUUGGGCUGUGUCUGAUGGCACUUCCCUUUUUGUCCAUUCUAAAGGAGUGAUCACAGAGAGACUGUGAACUGGUGAAGUCUGAAUUGAAGGAAAAUGCUGGCUUUGAAGCCCACAAGUGCACACGAGUUCCCACACCUACACUAAACUACAGUUGGGACUAAUCAGUGGAUGAUGUUUUUUCCUCUGGGAUUUUCAUGUUGCUUUGCAGCCAGCACUCACUUGAACUAAUGAAAGCAGAUGCUUCCAAACCUAAAUCUAUAUCCCUAAGGGUAGCAAUUCAAAGUUGAACUUUUUGAUGUAAAUUAAGGAAGACUUAAUUCAAAAGGCUUCUAUAUGUAAAAUGUUUCAUCCACAUCUAACCCUGGGAUUUCUUGAUUUCUCCAUUAAAAGAGCAGGUUAAGAAAUUAGAAUUCUGUUCUUAGUAACACCGUGUCAGUACAAUGUGUUUUGUGAUAUCAUUUUCAUUCUGUGUAUUUGGUUUGAUCAUCUGUCAAAUGAGUCUGUAAAAAUAAAUUAAUUUUUGGCUUUUA